AAGUGCGAAUGCUGACAUAAGUAACGAUAAAACGGGUGAAAAACCCGUUCGCCGGAAGACCAAGGGUUCCUGUCCAACGUUAAUCGGGGCAGGGUGAGUCGGCUCCUAAGGCGAGGCUGAAAAGCGUAGUCGAUGGGAAACAGGUUAAUAUUCCUGUACUUGGUAAAGCUGCGAUGUGGGGACGGAGUAGGUUAGGUUAUCGCACUGUUGGAUAUGUGCGUUUAAGUUGGUAGGUGGGAAGUUUAGGCAAAUCCGGACUUCCUUAACACAGAGAGAUGAUGACGAGGCUCUACGGAGCUGAAGUAACUGAUACCACACUUCCAGGAAAAGCCACUAAGCGAAAGGCUUUACUAAACCGUACUGAAAACCGACACAGGUGGUCAGGUAGAGAAUACUCAGGCGCUUGAGAGAACUCGGGUGAAGGAACUAGGCAAAAUAGCACCGUAACUUCGGGAGAAGGUGCGCCGGCGUAGAUUGUAAGGGCUAGCCCCUGAAGGUUGAACCGGUCGAAGAUACCAGCUGGCUGCAACUGUUUAUUAAAAACACAGCACUCUGCAAACACGAAAGUGGACGUAUAGGGUGUGAUGCCUGCCCGGUGCUGGAAGGUUAAUUGAUGGUGUAAUCGAAAGAGAAGCACCUGAUCGAAGCCCCAGUAAACGGCGGCCGUAACUAUAACGGUCCUAAGGUAGCGAAAUUCCUUGUCGGGUAAGUUCCGACCUGCACGAAUGGCAUAAUGAUGGCCAGGCUGUCUCCACCCGAGACUCAGUGAAAUUGAAAUCGCCGUGAAGAUGCGGUGUACCCGCGGCUAGACGGAAAGACCCCGUGAACCUUUACUAUAGCUUGACACUGAACAUUGAAUUUUGAUGUGUAGGAUAGGUGGGAG
rnacentral:rRNA from 1 species